rnacentral:tRNA from 1 species
UCUUUUGUGGCAGAUUAGUGCAAUGAAUUUAAGAUUCAUUUAUAAAAUUUUAUAUUUUCUUUAGAA